ensembl:rRNA 5S_rRNA 5S ribosomal RNA
GUUUACAGCCAUGCCACCCUGAACACUCCCGAUCCCAACUGAUCUCAGAAGCUAAGCAGGAUCGGGCCUGGUUAGUACUUGGAUGGGAGGCCAUCUAGAAAGACCAGAUGCUGUAGAUG